GGAAAGAAGGCCUGGAUCAGUGAACAACAAAGAAAAUGAGUGAUUGCUUUUCAGGGAGCCCAGCUGGUUUGUGUGUGCUCACCUAAGAUGUUGACAAACAUGCUUGAAGGACCUACACAGGGUGAAAUUCUCC
rnacentral:lncRNA from 12 species